rnacentral:lncRNA from 1 species
CACAGGUUUAAUUGCUAAAAUUGUCACUUCAGACAUCAAAAAGAUUGGAGUGUGCAGAAAUGCCAAUGCUGUCGAUAAAAAUGAAGCAUUAAAAAGGCAAAGUACUCAAUGGUUUAAUUUUUUUCCCGUAAUAAAUGUCUUCUUUUAUCAAAUGCAAUUUAAAAAAAUAUUUUGAUUGAUGUCUUAAAAGUGAAGACAAAAACAAACAACAGUAAAGGGUGUGGGACAAGACCAAUAAUUUCACCGAAAAAAUUCAUUGAAAGUAUCGAUCAUUCAUAUAAAAAAUGUAUAACAAAAAUACCAAACUCCAAGAUAUAUUCUAGAAGGUGAAAUUCCAUAAAACUGAAGAAAAAAAAAUAAAAAUUAUCGAUCAAGGGAACGAGUAGAAGGAAAACAACUGUCAUUUUGUAUAGGCAUUUACGAAAAGAAUGGCAGGUUAAACCUGGUUUAAAAGCAGCUAAACCUGAGUCCUCCCCC